GAAACCGUGUACGUACAAGCAGUGGGAGCACAGGUUUACCUGUGUGACUGCGUACCUUUUGUAUAAUGGGUCAGCGACUUAUAUUCUGUAGCAAGGUUAACCGUAUAGGGGAGCCGGAGGGAAACCGAGUCUUAAUUGGGCGUUAAGUUGCAGGGUAUAGACCCGAAACCCGGUGAUCUAGCCAUGGGCAGGUUGAAGGUUGGGUAACACUAACUGGAGGACCGAACCGACUAAUGUUGAAAAAUUAGCGGAUGACCUGUGGCUGGGGGUGAAAGGCCAAUCAAACCGGGAGAUAGCUGGUUCUCCCCGAAAGCUAUUUAGGUAGCGCCUCGUGAAUUCAUCUCCGGGGGUAGAGCACUGUUUCGGCUAGGGGGCCAUCCCGGCUUACCAACCCGAUGCAAACUGCGAAUACCGGAGAAUGUUAUCACGGGAGACACACGGCGGGUGCUAACGUCCGUCGUGAAGAGGGAAACAACCCAGACCGCCAGCUAAGGUCCCAAAGUCAUGGUUAAGUGGGAAACGAUGUGGGAAGGCCCAGACAGCCAGGAUGUUGGCUUAGAAGCAGCCAUCAUUUAAAGAAAGCGUAAUAGCUCACUGGUCGAGUCGGCCUGCGCGGAAGAUGUAACGGGGCUAAACCAU
rnacentral:rRNA from 1 species